rnacentral:rRNA from 1 species
AUUGAACGCUGGCGGCAGGCUUAACACAUGCAAGUCGAGCGGUAGCACAGGGGAGCUUGCUCCCUGGGUGACGAGCGGCGGACGGGUGAGUAAUGUCUGGGAAACUGCCUGAUGGAGGGGGAUAACUACUGGAAACGGUAGCUAAUACCGCAUAACGUCGCAAGACCAAAGAGGGGGACCUUCGGGCCUCUUUCCAUCAGAUGUGCCCAGAUGGGAUUAGCUAGUAGGUGGGGUAAUGGCUCACCUAGGCGACGAUCCCUAGCUGGUCUGAGAGGAUGACCAGCCACACUGGAACUGAGACACGGUCCAGACUCCUACGGGAGGCAGCAGUGGGGAAUAUUGCACAAUGGGCGCAAGCCUGAUGCAGCCAUGCCGCGUGUGUGAAGAAGGCCUUCGGGUUGUAAAGCACUUUCAGCGAGGAGGAAGGUGGUGAACUUAAUACGUUCAUCAAUUGACGUUACUCGCAGAAGAAGCACCGGCUAACUCCGUG